CCCUUAGAUGUCCUGGGCCGCACGCGCGCUACACUGAGUGUCUGAGAUACGAGUCUGCCUGGUCCGGCAAGGUCUAGGUAAUCGCUAAAAGACACAUCAUGCUUGGGAUAGAUUAUUGCAAAUAUUAAUCUUGAACGAGGAAUUCCUAGUAAGCGCAAGUCAACAGCUUGCGUUGAUUACGUCCCUGCCCUUUGUACACACCGCCCGUCGCUACUACCGAUUGGGAAAAUUUUAGAGAGUCCUGGACUGAUGAUUGUUCGGCUUCACGGCCUUACUUUCGUCGGGAAAGAAUUCGAUAAUAGUUUUCUAGAGGAAGUAAAAGUCGUAACA
rnacentral:rRNA from 1 species